UUCUCAGUAGCUCAGUUGGUAGAGCAAUCGGCUGUUAACCGAUCGGUCGCAGGUUCGAGUCCUGCCUGUGGAGCCA
rnacentral:tRNA from 1 species